rnacentral:lncRNA from 1 species
CAUAUACUUUAAAUUCUUUUUUUUCAACUUUUUAUGAUUAUUGUGAUAUUUUUUUUCUAUAAAAGAGCUACCCGGGAAGUAUAACAGUCUAUAAUAAUUAAAACUAAGGCGAUUACAUUGUUUAAGAAAAUCUGAUUUAGUACAUUUUUUAAAUAUACAAAUUAAACAUAGUAUUUUUUUCAUUUCAAAGGACUUUUCUUCGUCUGCGCGCACGCGUUUUAUUAUAUUUCUAUAAUAUUGUUCUGAAAAUGUUGUCAUAAAAAUUUGUACUCAAUUUGAAACAACCUUCAACUUAAUUAUCCAAAUCAAUUAUAAUUUUAUGAAAUGUUUUAGCUGACAUUGUUAAUUUUCCGUCUAUGUUAAUUUCACCCUUUUUAAAUAACCUUUGGACGGCUAACUACAACUUUUAUCAAAUAUUCAAAAUAUAUAUUUUUUAAGUAAUCAAAUGUUUUAAUAAUGUCUGAUUCAGAUCUGUGCAUGAUCCAUAUUAAUAUUGUAAAAUAAUUUAUAUUUUCCGUAACGAAGAAACCCAACUAUUGAACGGCCUUUGAUACAAUUUGGCACACAAGACCUUUAGAAGCAACAUAAGCUACUUUAGUUUCUGUUGAUUCUUACAAGGCGAAAGCUAUUUCUAAAUAAAAUGUUAUCCGAGAAGCUGUAAUAUUGACCUAUUUUUCACAAAUAAACAGUUCUCAUACGUAGGCUAGGAAGUUUCCUACAAAUUCACAUUAAUUGUGAAUUUCCAGGAAAUUUCCUGGAAAUGCCAGGAAGUUUCCUGGAAAUUCACAAUGAACAAAACACUGGUAAAAGCUAGUCUAAUGUAAGGCUAAAAAUCACCGAAGGAAAUACAACUCCUUAUUAUAAAUCUAUCCCACUCCGUGUAUAUAACAAACUCACCAAUUUAUAAACUCCUUUAUUUCGAUUCAACAAAGCACCACAUGUCCUUUUAUUUACAAAUUACAGCAUGUCUAAGACAUUCAACCUUUACUAAGAGUUUGGACGCAAAAUUCAUUACCUAUUUACAAUUAAUGAAAUAUAUUAGGGUGAUGGCACCAGUAAUCGACAUGUACCCAGUGAUCGACAUCUAACCUAGUCUUAAGGAAAAAAUAAGAGUUAUAUUUUGGUUUCCCGUCAUGGCAACACUUAAUCAUAGACAACAGGACUCCCUCUGUCGUCACAAAACAGAACUUUGGGCUCGGCCAUUUGUUUUCAAAAUGGCGAGCUAAAUAUUACUGUCACCGUUUGAGUUCCUUAGCUAAUCCGAUUUUAUUAGCGAAAUCCAUAACAAGAACACGCGCACCUAUUUCAAGAACUAUUCAUACAGAUAAAAUAGCAGCCACAAAAAAAAACGAUGGAUGA